rnacentral:tRNA from 1 species
GGGUUGUUAGCUCAGUUGGUUUAGAGCGCUUGCUUGACAGGCAAGAGGUCGCUGGUUCGAAUCCGGUACAACCCACCA